rnacentral:rRNA from 1 species
UGAGGAAUAUUGGUCAAUGGGCGAGAGCCUGAACCAGCCAAGUCGCGUGAGGGAAGACGGUCUUACGGAUUGUAAACCUCUUUUGCCGGGGAGCAAAGGGCGCCACGCGUGGCGUUUCGAGAGUACCCGGAGAAAAAGCAUCGGCUAACUCCGUGCCAGCAGCCGCGGUAAUACGGAGGAUGCGAGCGUUAUCCGGAUUUAUUGGGUUUAAAGGGUGCGUAGGCGGGCCGGUAAGUCAGCGGUAAAAUAGCGGGGCUCAACCCCGUCGAGCCGUUGAAACUGCCGGUCUUGAGUGGGCGAGAAGUGCGCGGAAUGCGUGGUGUAGCGGUGAAAUGCAUAGAUAUCACGCAGAACCCCGAUUGCGAAGGCAGCGCACCGGCGCCCUACUGACGCUGAAGCACGAAAGCAGUGGGGAGUCGAACAGGAUUAGAUACC